AGCAGCCGCGGUAAUUCCAGCUCCAAUAGCGUAUAUUAAAGUUGCUGCAGUUAAAAAGCUCGUAGUUGAAUUUCGGGACUAAUAUGUCGGUCGUGCCUCGGUACGUACUGGUUUAUUGGUUUCUCCUUUCUGAAGAACCAUGAUGUCAUUUAUUUGGUGUCGUGGGGAAUCAGGACUGUUACUUUGAAAAAAUUAGAGUGUUUAAAGCAGGCUCACGCUUGAAUACAUUAGCAUGGAAUAAUGAAAUAGGACGUUCGAUCCUAUUUUGUUGGUUUCUAGGAUUGACGUAAUGAUUAAUAGGGAUAGUUGGGGGCAUUAGUAUUCAAUUGUCAGAGGUGAAAUUCUUGGAUUUAUUGAAGACUAACUACUGCGAAAGCAUUUGCCAAGGAUGUUUUCAUUAAUCAAGAACGAAAGUUAGGGGAUCGAAGACGAUCAGAUACCGUCGUAGUCUUAACCAUAAACUAUGCCGACUAGGGAUCGGAUGAUGUUAAUUUUUUAAUGACUCAUUCGGCGCCUUACG
rnacentral:rRNA from 1 species